rnacentral:lncRNA from 1 species
UUCUUGUGCAUGUUUAAAACCGGAAGUCUUAUCUAUGACUAAAAGUCAGUCUGAUAACGGAAACAAUAUCCGGACACCUAUUUUGUCGUUUUUCUCCCAAAAUAACUCAAUCUGAAUAAUCAUAAGAACGGAUCACAAAUGCGACUAUGCAUGUUACCUAAAGAACACAGAGGCAUGAUGAUUAAUUUAUUGUGAAAGGAAGAGAAGCGACACACAAAAUGAGGUCUU